AGAGUUAUUGGCUCAGACUGCUCUGGUCCGUGGAAAACGAGCAAAUCUGGCACCCCUAAUAGCAACAGUCCUUCCAUGAGCCGCAGAAGCGUCUCUACCCUAGCAAGCUUCACUGCCCUCUGCUGAUACUGGAAACAGAAAUGACACGGUACUGACCGAGAUUUGUAUGGUUUACAAUCAUAGCUUAAAGAAGACAACCAAAGGCUUGAUGAGCAGCCGUGAGGACAUCAAACAAUUCUGCCUCCUACUGAAGAAAUACUAGAGAAUUUCUUUGUGUUGAGUCCUCGCUGCCUCUUGAGGUGCUGAAUCUUAGCCUGAAGCUACAUGCUACACAGUCCAUUCAUCAAAACCAUGACCCUCUUCAGUCAGGGACAGGAUGCUAUGGACUAAUGAACUCAGUGCAAGGUAUGAAUGUAUGCAUGUCAUGUUUUUGUACAUAGGGGAGGGAAUCUUUACUUAUUUCAGACUAUCAUAACACAUCAAACAUACCAAACAGAAGAGCCUGGUCUGCCUGCUGUGCCCUAAUGUCAUUGAUCUUGU